GACGAACGCUGGCGGCGUGCUUAACACAUGCAAGUCGAACGGAAAGGCCUCUUUCGGGGGGUACUCGAGUGGCGAACGGGUGAGUAACACGUGAGUAACCUGCCCUUGACUUUGGGAUAACUUCAGGAAACUGGGGCUAAUACCGGAUAGGAGCUCCUGCUGCAUGGUGGGGGUUGGAAAGUUUCGGCGGUUGGGGAUGGACUCGCGGCUUAUCAGCUUGUUGGAGGGGUAGUGGCUUACCAAGGCUUUGACGGGUAGCCGGCCUGAGAGGGUGACCGGCCACAUUGGGACUGAGAUACGGCCCAGACUCCUACGGGAGGCAGCAGUGGGGAAUAUUGCACAAUGGGUGGAAGCCUGAUGCAGCAACGCCGUGUGCGGGAUGACGGCCUUCGGGUUGUAAACCGCUUUCGCUCAUGACGAAGCUUUGUGUGACGGUAGUGGGUAAAGAAGCACCGGCUAACUACGUG
rnacentral:rRNA from 1 species